CAGUAGCCGCGGGAAUACGGAGGGUGCAAGCGUUAAUCGGAAUUACUGGGCGUAAAGCGCACGCAGGCGGUCUGUCAAGUCAGAUGUGAAAUCCCCGGGCUCAACCUGGGAACUGCAUUUGAAACUGGCAGGCUAGAGUCUUGUAGAGGGGGGUAGAAUCCCAGGUGUAGCGGUGAAAUGCGUAGAGAUCUGGAGGAAUACCGGUGGCGAAGGCGGCCCCCCGGACAAAGACUGACGCUCAGGUGCGAAAGCGUGGGGAGCAAACAGGAUUAGAUACCCCAGUAGUCCCUGUCUCUUAUAC
rnacentral:rRNA from 1 species